rnacentral:rRNA from 1 species
UACGGGGGGGGCAAGCGUUGUUCGGAAUUACUGGGCGUAAAGGGUGCGUAGGCGGCUUUUUAAGUCGGAUGUGAAAACUCUGGGCUCAACCCAGAGCCUGCAUCCGAAACUGGAGAGCUUGGGUUCUGGAGGGGAAAGCGGAAUUCCUGGUGUAGCAGUGAAAUGCGUAGAUAUCAGGAGGAACACCGGUGGCGAAGGCGGCUUUCUGGACAGAUACCGACGCUGAGGCACGAAAGCUAGGGGAGCAAACAGG